rnacentral:rRNA from 1 species
ACGGGGGGCUACGGGAGGCAGCAGUAGGGAAUCUUCCACAAUGGACGCAAGUCUGAUGGAGCAACGCCGCGUGAGUGAAGAAGGUUUUCGGAUCGUAAAGCUCUGUUGUUGGUGAAGAAAGAUAGUGAGAGUAACUGCUCAUUAUUUGCCGGUAAUCAACCAGAAAGUCACGGCUAACUACGUGCCAGCAGCCGCGGUAAUA